GGAGCCGUGCCUGAAUGUCCAAGGACCACUUUGAUAGAGUGAUCUAUGGAGGCUAAAAUCCUCCCGACUCCU
rnacentral:tRNA from 1 species